rnacentral:rRNA from 1 species
AAGGUAGCAUAAUCAUUUGCCUCUUAAUUAGUGGCUAGUAUGAAUGGACAAACGAGAAUUCCCCUGUCUCUAUAAAGCCAAUGAAAAUUAAUCUUCAGGUGAAGAAGCCUGAAUCUCAUUAAAAGACAAAAAGACCCUAUUGAGCUUACAUUCAAUCUCUAAAAUAUUAAAAUAAAAUAAAACUACCCUUUUUACAAGAAUUUUGCUGGGGCGGCAAAGGAACAACCAAAAAUUCCUUUUCUCAAAGACUUAUAAGUCUAUUAACUGAUCCGUAUUAACGAUUAACAAAACUAGUUACCAUAGGGAUAACAGGCUAAUUUUUCUCUAAAGCUCACAUUAACAGAAAAGAUUGGCACCUCGAUGUUGGCUUAGGAUAUCCUAAGGGCGCAGAAGCCUUUUAAGGUGGGUUUGUUCAACCUUUAAAAUCCUACGUGAUCU